rnacentral:rRNA from 1 species
GCCUACCACAGCAGCUCCCCAGCUGCUAGUGACCUCGCGGUCGCUACACGCCCAACGUGCGGAAAAGCCCUGUCAAGGGAAACCCGCAGCCCCUACCCGGGGUUCAGAGACUCAAUAGGCGUGGGUCUGGCUGCUGCAGCCAGGCUUGAGAUAGAGCCCGUCCUCGCUGGGCCAACGGCGAGGAGCAAACGGAACCUGCGGAAGGAUCAUUAAAGAAUUUGGGCUUUCGGGUCCUAUUCUCAACACUUUGUAUACCUAACUCUGUUGCUUUGGCGGGCUCGCCCGUCGAAGGACCGAAACUCUCGAAUCAUUGCUGUCUGAGUAUGAUUUUUAAUCGUUAAAACUUUCAACAACGGAUCUCUUGGUUCCAGCAUCGAUGAAGAACGCAGCGAAAUGCGAUAAGUAAUGUGAAUUGCAGAAUUCAGUGAAUCAUCGAAUCUUUGAACGCACAUUGCGCCCUCUGGUAUUCCGGGGGGCAUGCCUGUUCGAGCGUCAUUACAACCCUCACGCCCAGCGUGGUAUUGGACUCGCCUUGAGGGCUUGUCUCAAAAUCAGUGGCGGCUCCGUAGAACCCCUAAGCUCAGUAAUUUCACGCGGCUUCUGGUGUUUUGCGCGGCCUGCCAGCAACCCUCACCAUUUUAAAGGUUGACCUCGGAUCAGGUAGGGAUACCCGCUGAACUUAAGCAUAUCAAUAAGCGGAGGAAAAGAAACCAACAGGGAUUGCCUCAGUAACGGCGAGUGAAGCGGCAAUAGCUCAAAUUUGAAAGCUGGCUUACGCCCGCGUUGUAAUUUGUAGAGGAUGCUUCGGGUGCGGUGCCGGUCUAAGUUCUUUGGAACAGGACGUCAUAGAGGGUGAGAAUCCCGUAUGUGACUGGUGGCCUGCGUCUAUGUGAAGCUCCUUCGACGAGUCGAGUUGUUUGGGAAUGCAGCUCUAAAUGGGUGGUGUACUUCAUCUAAAGCUAAAUAUUGGCUGGAGACCGAUAGCGCACAAGUAGAGUGAUCGAAAGAUGAAAAGCACUUUGGAAAGAGAGUUAAACAGUACGUGAAAUUGUUGAAAGGGAAGCGCUUGCAAUCAGACUUGCGCUGCGUCGAUCAACCUGGGUUCUCCCUGGUGAACUCGGCGCAGCUCAGGCCAGCAUCAGUUUCGGCGGUUGGAUAAAGGCUUGGAGAACGUGAGUUGCUUCGGCGACUGUUAUAGCUCCAGGUGCAAUGCAGCCAGCUGGGACUGAGGACCGC